CUUUGGCAGAGACGCGCACUCAUAAAAAAUAGACAGUGAAAUUAAGUUGAAUAAAGUGGAAGGAAAUUUACACACCAAGGCACAGAGAUAGUUGAUGCUUAAGUCUCUCUCUCUUCUGCUCGCCUUGGCUCCUCCUCGUUCUCGAAUCGCACACAAUUUGACCUGACAAUUCAAACACAGACAGUUCAAGAGAAUGGCAUAAUAAAAGUCUCCCUGUAAUUACAUUCUUCGGACUUUCUCAGACACCUUGUGACCACGAAAAAAAUAGAGGGGACAAACUACUGUCAACAGAUUUCUCAAUCUUCCCAGAGGUUAAUUACAAACCGGUCAGAAUGGACAAUCAAACAGAAGUGAAUAUGUAAAAUAUUUUACAUGAUAACACUCUCAAUAUAUGAGCAAAACCACGUGCUAAAGCACCCCAUGAACUUUUUCUUCGCUCUGUAUUUUCUGUCUUAAUAAAAA